rfam:Acinetobacter nectaris CIP 110549 genomic scaffold adgTG-supercont2.1, whole genome shotgun sequence.
GGGGAUGUUAUUGGCUUCGACGCUGGUGAUGAAACUCAUAGAUGCAUGCCGAGAGCGCAUUUUCUCUCGUAAAUAAAAUUUGCAAUUUUAUAGUCGCAAACGACGAAUCUUACGCUCAAGUAGCCUAAGGGCUACUAGUCCGCUUAUCAGAUUACUUGUGGCCUGAUAACCCGACAGAAGCGAACGCACACAAGUCCGUAUAGAAUCAAGCCUUGGGGUUCUAUAUCAAACUUAAAGGAUCGCGCUUUUAACCCUGUUCGUCGGGUCUUUAAGUGCUAAAACAAUAGACGAUAUCUAAGCAUGUAGUAUUCUGGAGCGUAAUGCUGGCGGACGCGGGUUCAACUCCCGCCAUCUCCACCA